CCGGGGCUAAUACCAGAUGCUUGAUUGAACCGCAUGGUUCAAUUAUAAAAGGUGGCUUUUAGCUACCACUUACAGAUGGACCCGCGGCGCAUUAGCUAGUUGGUGAGGUAACGGCUCACCAAGGCAACGAUGCGUAGCCGACCUGAGAGGGUGAUCGGCCACACUGGGACUGAGACACGGCCCAGACUCCUACGGGAGGCAGCAGUAGGGAAUCUUCCGCAAUGGACGAAAGUCUGACGGAGCAACGCCGCGUGAGUGAUGAAGGUUUUCGGAUCGUAAAACUCUGUUGUUAGGGAAGAACAAGUACCGUUCGAAUAGGGCGGUACCUUGACGGUACCUAACCAGAAAGCCACGGCUAACUACGUGCCAGCAGCCGCGGUAAUACGUAGGUGGCAAGCGUUGUCCGGAAUUAUUGGGCGUAAAGCGCGCGCAG
rnacentral:rRNA from 2 species